CUAAAGAGAGAACAGUUAAUUGAAAAUUUGCUGUAAAGGGAUGGACUGUUUUUGUACUUGUGUGGAAAUGUGCCUGAAAAGCUGUUAUUCUGUUGAGUGUUUCCAGGUCUGGGACAUACCUUUGUCAGGGAAGAGGGUCCUGUUAGAUGGGUGAUUUCUAUGAGUCCCCUUCCAGCCUCUGAUUUGGAACCUUCGACCUGGAGGUGGCAAUGGAGAGGACUUUGCAAACACAACAAAAAUCUGCCAGAUUGUGGCCCUCUGCCAGAACAGUGGCCAAGGUUGUUUUUUAAAUCAGAUUCUUGUUGACCUGAGUGAGACUA